rfam:Ictidomys tridecemlineatus contig001531, whole genome shotgun sequence.
CGCUCAACACAGCUGUGCUGCCAGUUGCAAGGAGCCUCAUUCUAGAUCGUUCCUGAGCCUGAUGGAUUUACAGUGAUGUCCAAAUCUCCUGGGGAA